GAUGAACGCUAGCGGCAGGCUUAACACAUGCAAGUCGAGGGGCAUCGGGAGGGAAGCUUGCUUUCCUUGCCGGCGACCGGCGCACGGGUGAGUAACACGUAUGCAACCUGCCCUCUUCAGGGGGACAACCUUCCGAAAGGGAGGCUAAUCCCGCGUAUAUCGGUUUCGGGCAUCCGAGAUCGAGGAAAGAUUCAUCGGAAGAGGAUGGGCAUGCGGCGCAUUAGCUAGACGGCGGGGUAACGGCCCACCGUGGCGACGAUGCGUAGGGGUUCUGAGAGGAAGGUCCCCCACACUGGUACUGAGACACGGACCAGACUCCUACGGGAGGCAGCAGUGAGGAAUAUUGGUCAAUGGGAGAGAUCCUGAACCAGCCAAGCCGCGUGAGGGAAGACGGCCCUAUGGGUUGUAAACCUCUUUUGUCGGAGAACAAAACCCGGGACGAGUCCCGGACUGCGUGUAUCCGAAGAAAAAGCAUCGGCUAACUCCGUGCCAGCAGCCGCGGUAAUACGGAGGAUGCGAGCGUUAUCCGGAUUUAUUGGGUUUAAAGGGUGCGUAGGCGGUCCGUUAAGUCAGCGGUAAAAUUGCGGGGCUCAACCCCGUCGAGCCGUUGAAACUGGCAGACUUGAGUUGGCGAGAAGUACGCGGAAUGCGCGGUGUAGCGGUGAAAUGCAUAGAUAUCGCGCAGAACUCCGAUUGCGAAGGCAGCGUACCGGCGCCAGACUGACGCUGAGGCACGAAAGCGUGGGGAUCGAACAGGAUUAGAUACCCUGGUAGUCCACGCAGUAAACGAUGAAUGCUGGUUGUCCGGGUCGAAUGAGACCUGGGCGGCGAAGCGAAAGCGAUAAGCAUUCCACCUGGGGAGUACGCCGGCAACGGUGAAACUCAAAGGAAUUGACGGGGGCCCGCACAAGCGGAGGAACAUGUGGUUUAAUUCGAUGAUACGCGAGGAACCUUACCCGGGCUCAAACGGGAGUGGAAUGGACCAGAGACGGUUCAGCCUACGGGCCGCUUCCGAGGUGCUGCAUGGUUGUCGUCAGCUCGUGCCGUGAGGUGUCGGCUUAAGUGCCAUAACGAGCGCAACCCCCGCCGGCAGUUGCUAACGGGCAAUGCCGUGGACUCUGCCGGGACUGCCGCCGCAAGGCGUGAGGAAGGCGGGGAUGACGUCAAAUCAGCACGGCCCUUACGUCCGGGGCGACACACGUGUUACAAUGGGCGGUACAGCGGGAAGCCAGGCGGCGACGCCGAGCGGAACCCGAAAGCCGUUCUCAGUUCGGAUCGGAGUCUGCAACCCGACUCCGUGAAGCUGGAUUCGCUAGUAAUCGCGCAUCAGCCAUGGCGCGGU
rnacentral:rRNA from 1 species